rnacentral:lncRNA from 1 species
UAAAGGCUCGAAAGUGUUUUGCAGCAAAUCGAAACUAGGUGUGUACCCAAAAUCACAGAAAACAAAAAACAGUGAAAGUUGAAAAAUAAAUCUGUCGACGCCAUAAGGGCAUGUGGUUGUCCGUGUGGUAGGCCGUGUGACAGUACACGACCGUGUGACUGACAGGGCCAGGCCGUGUGCAUUAGACACAGCCUUGCGAUGGCCAAGUAGGCCGCAUGUGACACACGGAUAGACUGAUUUGGGCC